rnacentral:rRNA from 1 species
CUAUUAGUAGAGAAGCGUGUGAGCCAGCUGCCAAGAAAAGCCGCUAUUGUUUCAUAAGUACCCGUACCGUAAACCGACACAGGUGGAUGAGGAGAGAAUCCUAAGGCCGGCGGGAGAAGUGUUGUUAAGGAACUCGGCAAAAUGACUCCGUAACUUCGGGAGAAGGAGUGCCACAGAGAUGUGGCCGCAGAGAAAUGGCCCAAGCAACUGUUUAGCAAAAACACAGGUCUAUGCAAAACCGAAAGGUGAGGUAUAUGGGCUGACGCCUGCCCGGUGCUGGAAGGUUAAGAGGAGAGGUUAGAGCAAUCGAAGCUUUGAAUUUAAGCCCCAGUAAACGGCGGCCGUAACAAUAACGGUCCUAAGGUAGCGAAAUUCCUUGUCGGGUAAGUUCCGACCCGCACGAAAGGCGUAAUGAUUUGGGCACUGUCUCAACAACACACCCGGUGAAAUUGAAAUACCAGUGAAGAUGCUGGUUACCUGCGCCAGGACGGAAAGACCCCAUGGAGCCUUACUCCAGUUUGAUACUGGGAUUCGGUACUGUCUGUACAGGAUAGGUGGGAGGCUAGGAAAUGGUGACGCCAGUUGCCAUGGAGCCAACCUUGGGAUACCACCCUUACAGUACUGGGUUUCUAACCUGCAGCCGUAACCCGGCUGGGGGACAAUGUCUGACGGGGAGUUUGACUGGGGCGGUCGCCUCCGAAGGAGUAUCGGAGGCGCUCAAAGGUACCCUCAGAACGGUUGGAAACCGUUCGAAGAGUGCAAAGGCAGAAGGGAGCUUGACUGCGACACCGACGGGUGGAGCAGAUACGAAAGUAGGACUUAGUGAUCCGGUGGUAUAAAGUGGGAUUGCCAUCGCUCAACGGAUAAAAGCUACCCUGGGAUAACAGGCUUAUCACUCCCAAGAGUUCACAUCGACGGAGUGGUUUGGCACCUCGAUGUCGGCUCAUCGCAUCCUGGAGCUGUAGCAGGUUCCAAGGGUUGGGCUGUUCGCCCAUUAAAGCGGUACGCGAGCUGGGUUCAGAACGUCGUGAGACAGUUCGGUCCCUAUCCGGCGUGGGCGUAGGAUAUUUGAGAGGAGCUGUCCUUAGUACGAGAGGACCGGGAUGGACAAACCUCUGGUGUAUCUGUUGUUUUACCAAAGGCAUGGCAGAGUAGCCAAGUUUGGCAGGGAUAAACGCUGAAGGCAUCUAAGCGUGAAGCCCCCCUCAAGAUAAGAUAUCCCAUCUUCGGAGUAAGACCCCUUGAAGACUACAAGGUUGAUAGGCUUCAGGUGUAAGUGCGGUAACGCACUCAGCUGAGAAGUACUAAUAGGUCGAGGACUUAUC